CCUACGGGCGGCAGCAGUGAGGAAUAUUGGUCAAUGGACGAGAGUCUGAACCAGCCAAGUAGCGUGAAGGAUGACUGCCCUAUGGGUUGUAAACUUCUUUUAUAUGGGAAUAAAUUGUUCUACGUGUGGGAUUAUGUAUGUACCAUAUGAAUAAGGAUCGGCUAACUCCGUGCCAGCAGCCGCGGUAAUACGGAGGAUCCGAGCGUUAUCCGGAUUUAUUGGGUUUAAAGGGUGCGUAGGUGGAUUGGUAAGUCAGUUGUGAAAGUUUGCGGCUCAACUGUGGAAUUGCAGUUGAAACUGGUAGUCUUGAGUACAGGAGAGGUGGGGGGAAGUCGUGGUGUAGCGGUGAAAUGCUUAGAUAUCACGAAGAACUCCGAUUGCGAAGGCAGCUCACUGGACUGUAAAUGACACUGAGGCUCGAAAGUGUGGGUAUCAAACAGGAGUAGAUACCCCGGUAGUC
rnacentral:rRNA from 1 species